AUGAAAUGCUAUUUUGGCAGAGGAAUAUGUGUUAGAUUUAGGAUCUAAUUAGAUAGAUUAGUCUAUAAAUAGUA
rnacentral:tRNA from 1 species